rnacentral:misc_RNA from 1 species
GCAGCCGCGUAAUUCCAGCUCCAAUAGCGUAUAUUAAAGUUGCUGCAGUUAAAAAGCUCGUAGUUGAAUUUCGGGACCAUCAUGUCGGUCGUGCCUCGGUACGUACUGGCAUUGUUGGUUUCUCCCUUCUGACGAACCAUGAUGUCAUUUAUUUGGUGUUGUGGGAAAUCAGGACUGUUACUUUGAAAAAAUUAGAGUGUUUAAAGCAGGCUCACGCUUGAAUACAUUAGCAUGGAAUAAUGAAAUAGGACGUUUGAUUCUAUUUUGUUGGUUUCUAGGAUCGACGUAAUGAUUAAUAGGGAUAGUUGGGGGCAUUAGUAUUCAAUUGUCAGAGGUGAAAUUCUUGGAUUUAUUGAAGACUAACUACUGCGAAAGCAUUUGCCAAGGAUGUUUUCAUUAAUCAAGAACGAAAGUUAGGGGAUCGAAGACGAUCAGAUACCGUCGUAGUCUUAACCAUAAACUAUGCCGACUAGGGAUCGGAUGAUGUUAAUUUUUUAAUGACUCAUUCGGCGCCUUACG